AGAACGAACGUUGGCGGCGUGGAUUAGGCAUGCAAGUCGCGGGAAUCACAGCAAUGUGGGAACCGGCGUAAGGGGCAGUAAUGCGUGGGUAUCUACCCUCCGGUCUGGCAUAGCCCUUCGAGAGAAGGGGUAAUUCCAGAUGAUGUCGUGAGACCAAAGGUCCGCCGCCGGGGGAGGAGCCCACGUGAUAUUAGGUAGUUGGUGAGGUAAUGGCUCACCAAGCCAUAGAUGUCUAGCGGGUGUGAGAGCACGACCCGCGCCACUGGCACUGAGACACUGGCCAGACACCUACGGGUGGCUGCAGUCGAGGAUCUUCGGCAAUGGGGGCAACCCUGACCGAGCGACGCCGCGUGGAGGAUGAAGGCCUUCGGGUUGUAAACUCCUGUCGAGGGGGAGGAAGGGGCAACCUUGACCGAUCCCUGGAGGAAGCACGGGCUAAGUUCGUGCCAGCAGCCGCGGUAAGACGAACCGUGCGAACGUUGUUCGGAAUCACUGGGCUUAAAGGGCGCGUAGGCGGAGGGUGUAGUCGGUGGUGAAAUCCUCCAGCUCAACUGGAGAAUGGCCUCCGAUACUGACUCUCUCGAGGGAGGUAGGGGCAUGUGGAACUCAGGGUGGAGCGGUGAAAUGCGUAGAUAUCCUGAGGAACGCCGGUGGCGAAAGCGACGUGCUGGACCUCUUCUGACGCUGAGGCGCGAAAGCCAGGGGAGCAAACGGGAUUAGAUACCCCGGUAGUCCUGGCCCUAAACGUUGGGUACUAGAUUGCGGACUUACAUGGGUUCGCAGUCGAAGCUAAUGUUUUAAGUACCCCGCCUGGGGAGUAUGGUCGCAAGGCUG
rnacentral:rRNA from 1 species